UAAUAACAAGUGCAGAAACUUGCUUGUUUUUAGUAGUUGAAGAGAAUUAUCAACUCAGUUAGUUUUUGUAGUUAUGAACUUAGAGGGCAGCAUUUUGUAUACAAAGAUGGCGGCGCCCAUGCUUCGUAGAUACCGACUUAUGGUAUGAGAUUUUUUUUUUUUAGAUAUUGAAUCUUGAUAAAGUUUUUCCGUAGAUAACAUGUUACAUUGUAUAUAUUUAAUACUUAGUGUAUUUUCAAUGUAGGUUUCUAUGGUUACGGGUGUAUUGACUUUUCAUUUACAGCUGGGAGAUAUGGACUACAGCUGGUCCAGGCCUUCAUGUAGGUGAUGAGUGCAUUUCUGCUCGUAGCAGUGACGGGUAGUGAGUGACUGUGGAGUUUGCAGUCUGGUUGUUGCAGCUUGUUGCUUGACAUUUGUUUGACCUUAGGGUUUUUUGUUUACGACACAGAAUAAACUUCAAUGCCCUUA